AGUGAACGCUGGCGGUAGGCCUAACACAUGCAAGUCGAACGGCAGCACAGUAAGAGCUUGCUCUUACGGGUGGCGAGUGGCGGACGGGUGAGGAAUACAUCGGAAUCUACUUUUUCGUGGGGGAUAACGUAAGGAAACUUACGCUAAUACCGCAUACGACCUACGGGUGAAAGCAGGGGAUCUUCGGACCUUGCGCGAUUGAAUGAGCCGAUGUCGGAUUAGCUAGUUGGCGGGGUAAAGACCCACCAAGGCGACGAUCCGUAGCUGGUCUGAGAGGAUGAUCAGCCACACUGGAACUGAGACACGGUCCAGACUCCUACGGGAGGCAGCAGUGGGGAAUAUUGGACAAUGGGCGCAAGCCUGAUCCAGCCAUACCGCGUGGGUGAAGAAGGCCUUCGGGUUGUAAAGCCCUUUUGUUGGGAAAGAAAAGCAGCAGGUUAAUACCCCGCUGUUCUGACGGUACCCAAAGAAUAAGCACCGGCUAACUUCGUG
rnacentral:rRNA from 1 species